GCGGCUGGGUUUGGUAUGUGCCGGUCGGCGGUCAACGCCUCCAUAACCCCCAAGCCUCCGGUGGACGACAACGUCAUAGUAAGAUCGGUCAUCCCUGCGAAUCGAUCAUCAAUGGCUUCCAAAGCUGAGAGUAGGGAAAGGGAGGUAAAGCUACUGAGUGCGAGAAAUGACCAGUAUGGAGGUGUGAUCGUAGACAUCAAUGGAGAUGAGCAUAGACCCUGCUACCUUUUUAUUAUCUCUGACCUCCUCAAUUGAGCAUUGGAAGGUGCAGGGAAAGAAGGGUGUUUGGAUCAAAUUGCCUAUAGAGCGAGUCAAUCUUAUAGAAGCUGCAGUCAAGAAAGGAUUCUGGUACCACCAUGCGGAGCCUAAUUAUUUGAUGCUCAUGUUUUGGAUUCCUCAAUCCGCUCAUACUCUUCCUGCAAAUGCCACGCACCGAGUGGGCAUUGGCGCAUUUCUCAUCAAUCAUAACAGAGAGGUGCUAGUAGUAGUCCAAGAAAAGGGUCAACGGCUUGGACAGUAUCGAGGGACGGGUGUGUGGAAGCUCCCUACUGGAGUUGUUGAUGAGGGAGAAGAUAUCUUUGCAGCUGCUGUUAGAGAAGUCAAAGAAGAAACAGGAAUUGACUCAGAGUUUGUGGAAGUUCUAGCAUUCAGACAACGUCACAAGUCGUUCUUUCAGAAGUCAGAUUUAUUUUUUGUGUGCAUGUUACGACCCCUCUCCUUUGACAUCCAGAAGCAGGAACACGAGAUAGAAGCAGCCAAGUGGAUGCCAUUUGAGGAAUAUGCAGCUCAACCAUUUGUCCAGAAAUACGAGCUUCUGAGCUACAUCCAUGACAUAUGCAAAGCAAAGAUGGAUGGGAAGUAUACUGGAUUUUCUCCAGUGCCCUCUACAAGUUAUUCUGUUCAGAAGAGCUACUUGUACUUGAAUACUAGCACGGCACCCAGGAGACAGAGUAAACUCUGAUGAUCAGGGCUGCAUAAAUCUCAGCUCCAGUGAAAAUAUUUAAAGAGAGUCAUAGUUAAAUGACAAAAAAGAAAAACAAAAGAAAAGAAAUUGCAUUGUCGAUGUUGAGCUCUGUUUAAAAUACGUGUAACUGUUCAAUAAUCUCAUCAAGAAAAGUUUUUCUUUCUGUAAUGCUAAUUCACAUCCUCAAAAGUCAAAAGGCAAAACUCUGGAAGCAAAACAGGGCCGCAACGAACAGCCCAUAGCGCCC